rnacentral:rRNA from 1 species
UACGAAGGGUGCAAGCGUUACUCGGAAUCACUGGGCGUAAAGCGUGCGUAGGCGGUUCGUUAAGUCUGCUGUGAAAGCCCUGGGCUCAACCUGGGAACUGCAGUGGAUACUGGCGGACUAGAGUGUGAUAGAGGAUGGUGGAAUUCCCGGUGUAGCGGUGAAAUGCGUAGAGAUCGGGAGGAACACCAGUGGCGAAGGCGGCCAUCUGGAUCAACACUGACGCUGAGGCACGAAAGCGUGGGAGCAAACAGG